GCGCCCGUAGCUCAGCUGGAUAGAGCGUUGGCCUCCGGAGCCAAAGGUCAGAGGUUCGAGUCCUCUCGGGCGCACCA
rnacentral:tRNA from 1 species